rnacentral:rRNA from 1 species
UACGGGGGGGUGCGAGCGUUGUCCGGAAUCACUGGGCGUAAAGGGCGCGUAGGUGGCCUGAUAAGGGUGUGGUGAAAAGUCCGGGGCUUAACCCCCGGAUCUGCCGUGCCGACUGUUAGGCUAGAGUGCUGUAGGGGCAGGCGGAAUUCCGGGUGUAGCGGUGGAAUGCGUAGAGAUCCGGAGGAAGACCGGUGGCGAAGGCGGCCUGCUGGGCAGAUACUGACACUGAGGCGCGACAGCGUGGGGAGCAAACAGG